rnacentral:lncRNA from 1 species
CUUCUCCCCAGGGCGCUCUGCUGCGCUGUCCUGCUGCUCCUGGUCGCCGCGGUGCUGAGCAGAGGCAAGAGGUGCAGCAUCGCCAAGAUCCUGCGGCAGUACCGCGCCGUCAUCUUCCACGAGAUCCAGAACCUGAAAAACCUGAGCGGAUCAGCRGACAGGAGCAGCCGAGCCGGGCCGGCCUGCCGCUCGGACAAGGACCAGAAGAUCCUGCUGUCCAUCUACAACAUCAGCAUGUCCCUGCGGGACGUGGCGGCCGGCACCCUGCGAGGCCCCGAGGAGGUGGCGGUGUGGAAGGUGGCCAGAAAC